GCCUGACGUCCUCCUGGACAGACGCUGACAGUUAAAAAAAGCCCGCCGGAAGGCGGGCUUUUUUAUUGCCGAUA
rnacentral:sRNA from 1 species